rnacentral:lncRNA from 1 species
CUGGGCUGUGCGGCUGUCCCGUCCUCGUGAAGAGGAGCGUUGGGAGGAGCCGGGAGAGACAAGGCUAUGGGCGGCGGGCGGGGACGGCUGUCCCUCCCUCAAGGAGUGGAGUUAGCGAGGCUGCGCUGGGGUGCUCCGUUGCCGAGGAUGGGCCGAGUUCGAGGCGGCAAAGGAAUUGUCUGCCAGGCUUCUGGAGGCACCUGGGCCGUGUGGGUUCACAGCGGUCAUCCAGGGAAUGGAUGGACAUGGUACAGCACUGGGGCCUGGGACCAGGACGAGCCUCAGAACACGGCUGGUGAGCACACCCACCUCCACCUGCACCCAUCCCCGCUCCCCACACACACCACACACACACUCAUCACACACACACUCAUCACACAACCACACACUCAUCACACACGCUCAUCACACACACCACACACUCAUCACACACAUUUUACACACACCACACACACUCGUCACACACAUGCUCAUCACACACUCAUCACACACCACACGCUCAUAAUACUCAUCACACACAUUCAUUACACACAUACACCACACACAUGCUCAUCACACACAUUCUCAUCACACACACCAUACGCACUCAUCACACACACUCAUCACACACAUGCUCAUCACACAUGCAUCACAUGCUCAUAACACACUCAUCACACACAUGCACCACACACAUGCUCAUCACACACAUAUCACACACAGCACACACACUCAUCACACACGCUCAUCACACACUGAUCACAGACACACGCUCAUCACACACCACACACACAGUCAUACAAACUCAUCACACACACCACACAUAUACUCAUCACUCAUGCUCAUCACACACAUUCAUCAAACACUACACACAUGUUCACACACUCAUCACAUGCACACCACACACUCAUCACACACAUUCAUCACAUACACCAUACACACAUUCAUCACACACGGCACACACAUGCUCAUCACACACACACCAUGCACACUCAUCACACUCACACACACAUCACACACGAUCACAGACAUCACACACACCACACACAUGCUCAUUAUGCACACUCGUCACACGCACACCACACACAGUCAUCACACACACAUCCCAGACACCACACACACCACACCAUAUAUACACUCAACCAUCACACGCACACACACCACACACACACACCUCAUCACGCAUACACCUGCACACAGAGCCACACACACUGGGCCAUCACACAGACACCAUGCACCACACACACACACACUCAUCACACACAAACCCAAUCACCUCACACACCCAUCCACCCCCAUCACAGCCCCCACCUCUGCUGAAUGGAGCCCCACCAUCCUUCAAUGACCAGCUGGCACCUCGUCCUUGACGUGCCCCAUCGCACUUCCUUCUCCCGCCCACGAGGACCUCGGUAAUGUCGCCCCUGAAACUGCUGCGGAACCUGGAGCCCACUGUAACCCAGAAUUGGAAUCCCAGCUCAGCCCCUGCACACCUGAUUGCCCGGAGAAAUGCCUUAUUCCUGACAGCCUCUUGGUUCUUUUCCGUCUCCGGUUAGGUGAGAAGGUCAAUCUGGCCCUGCGGGUUAUGUUGGGGGUUACAUGAGAACCUCAUUGGCAUGAAGAGGCCAGGCAGGUCCUCCGACAGUGCCACAGCCCCAGGCUUGUGCCGCCAAAUCACGGAGGCCUUCCGGGCCCUGAACACGAACCGGACGGGGCCUUCCCGCAUUACUACCCGAAUGACACUGCUGGGGGGACCGCUCUCUGGAUGCCAUUGUGGCCACGUGUCGGGACG